GGCCGCCUGGCGAAAUGGCAUCGCGUCUGACUACGAUAAUGUAAUCAGGAGAUUGCAGGUUCGACCCCUGCGGUGGUCA
rnacentral:tRNA from 1 species